CCUACGGGAGGCUGCAGUGAGGAAUAUUGGUCAAUGGCCGGAAGCCUGAACCAGCCAAGCAGCGUGCAGGACGAAGGUGCCAAGCAUUGUAAACUGCUUUUGUCAAGGGACAAAAUCAGUCUCGAGAGACUGACCGCGGGUACUUUAAGAAAAAGCAUCGGCUAACUCCGUGCCAGCAGCCGCGGUAAUACGGAGGAUGCGAGCGUUAUCCGGAUUUAUUGGGUUUAAAGGGUGCGUAGGCGGGCUGUUAAGUCAGCGGUAAGAGCCCGGGGCUCAACCCCGGCGAGCCGUUGAAACUGGCUGUCUUGAGAUGUCGAGAGGUAUGCGGAAUGCGCAGUGUAGCGGUGAAAUGCUUAGAUAUUGCGCAGAACUCCGAUUGCGAAGGCAGCAUACCGGCGGCGAUCUGACGCUGAGGCACGAAAGCGUGGGUAUCGAACAGGAUUAGAUACCCGAGUAGUC
rnacentral:rRNA from 1 species